rnacentral:rRNA from 1 species
CCUACGGGUGGCAGUAGUGGGGGAUAUUGCACAAUGGGGGGAACCCUGAUGCAGCGACGCCGCGUGGGUGAAGGAGCUUUUCGGCGCGUAAAGCCCUAUCGGCAGGGAAGAAGGAGGACGGUACCUGACUCAGAAGCCCCGGCUAACUACGUGCCAGCAGCAUCGGUAAUACGUAGGGGGCAAGCGUUAUCCGGAUUUACUGGGGGGAAGGGGGGCGCAGGCGGCAGCGCAAGCCAGGAGUGAAAGCCCGGGGCCCAACCCCGGGACUGCCCUUGGAACUGCGGGGCUGGAGUGCAGGAGGGGCAGGCGGAAUUCCUGGUGUAGCGGUGAAAUGCUUAGAUAUCACGAAGAACUCCGAUUGCGAAGGCAGCUUACUAAACUGCAACUGACAUUGAUGCUCGAAAGUGUGGGUAUCAAACAGGAUUAGAUACCCGUGUAGUC